AAUUCCAAUACACAAACCAAAAUUUCAAUUCAUAUCCUAAAGGUUCAACUCAUAUCCACAAAAGUUCAAGUCAAAUCCUAAAAUUUCAAUUUAUAAACUAAACUUCCAAUACAUAAACCAAAAUUUCAAUUCAUAUCCACAAAAGUUCAUGUCAAAUCCUAAAAUUUCAAUUUAUAAACUAAACUUCUAAUACAUAAACCAAAAUUUCAAUUCAUAUCCUAAAGGUUCAACUCAUAUCCACAAAAGUUCAAGUCAAAUCCUAAAAUUUCAAUUUAUAAACUAAAAUUCCAAUAUAUAAACCAAAAUUUCAAUUUAUAUCCUAAAGGUUCAACUCAUAUCAACAAAAUUUCAAGUCAUAUCCCAAAAUUUCAAAUUUAUAAACUAAAUUCCAAUACAUAAGCCAAAAUUUCAAUUCAUAUCCUAAAGGUUCAACUCAAUACAUAAACCAAAAUUUCAAUUCAUAUCUUAAAGGUUCAACUCAUAUCCACAAAAGAUCAAGUCAUAUCCUAAAAUUUUAAUUUAUAAACUGCAAUUCCAAUACACAAACUAAAAUUCCAAUACAUAAACCAAAAUUUCAAUUCAUAUCCUAAAAGUUCAAGUCAGAUCCACAAAAGUUCAAGUCAGAUCCUAAAAUUUCAAUUUAUAAACUAAAAUUCCAAUACAUAAACCAAAAUUUGAAUUCAUAUCCUAAAGGUUCAACUCAUAUCCACAAAAGUUCAAGUCAAAUCCUAAAAUUUCAAUUUAUAAAUUAAAAUUCCCAUACAUAAACCAAAAUUUCAAUUCAUAUCCUAAAGGUUUAACUCAUAUCCACAAAAGUUCAAGUCUGUCACGACCCAAAAAUCCCUCCAAAGACGUCGUGAUGCCACCUGGUUUCUAA
rnacentral:lncRNA from 1 species